rnacentral:rRNA from 1 species
UACAGAGGGUGCGAGCGUUAAUCGGAAUUACUGGGCGUAAAGUGUGCGCAGGCGGCCGAGCAAGUCGAGUGUGAAAGCCCCGAGCUUAACUUGGGAACUGCGCUCGAAACUACUUGGCUAGAGUGUGGCAGAGGGAGGUGGAAUUCCACGUGUAGCGGUGAAAUGCGUAGAUAUCGAGAGGAACACCGGUGGCGAAGGCGGCCCUCUGGACGGUGACUGACGCUGAGACGCGAAAGCGUGGGGAGCAAACAGG